rnacentral:rRNA from 1 species
AACGAACGCUGGCGGCGCGUCUUAAGCAUGCAAGUCGAGCGGUAAGGUGGUGCUUGCACUACCCGAGAGCGGCGGACUGGUGAGUAACGCGUGGGUGACCUACCUUGAGGUUGGGGAUAGCCAUUAGAAAUAGUGGGUAAUACCGAAUGUGGUUACCGGGUUUUGACCUGGUAAAGAAAGGAGCUUUGGCUCCGCCUUAAGAUGGGCCCGCGUCCCAUUAGCUAGUUGGUGAGGUAAGAGCCCACCAAGGCUCUGAUGGGUAGCCGGCCUGAGAGGGUGAACGGCCACACUGGGACUGAGAUACGGCCCAGACUCCUACGGGAGGCAGCAGCUAAGAAUAUUCCGCAAUGGACGAAAGUCUGACGGAGCGACGCCGCGUGGAUGACGAAGGCCGGAAGGUUGUAAAAUCCUUUUGCCAGUGAAGAAUAAGUGCGGGAGGGAAUGCCCGCAUGAUGACGUUAGCUGG